rnacentral:lncRNA from 1 species
GCGUUUGUGUGGGAUUUUUAUUUAUUUCCACCUACAAGCCGCUUAUAAACAAAUACAAAUGGGACCGUGCGAGUCGUAGUACCUACAUGUUGUAGGUGUGCAGGCAGCGGUGGUCGGUGGAGCUGAAGCAAGAAAUAUGACAAAGGGGAUGCUAAGUAAUGUAGCAAGGGCUAGACAAAUUCUGUUGAAGAUAAAAUGUGAAACCACUAAGCUAACAACUAAUGUAAUAUACUUGCUAUUAUUAGGAGCUUCAUGAGGAUUUGUGAUGCUGCUCCUGAUGCAUUCCGGGCCAAUACUGUACAUGGGUCAAGUUUUUAGGUAUGGGACAAAUUAUCUCCAGUGGAUCUUCUUUCCUCUUUCCCCUUUUCUCUUUUCAGCAAUAAAAGAGUUUGAGGGGACAAAAAUCUGCCACAACAGAUCCAAUUUCUAUUUUCCUUUCCCCAUAAUUUUUUCUCGAUCCCCUUUAUCCCCCUCCCUCUCCAUGUGUCCGUACGGAUAGAAAAAGAUAGGGAGAU